rnacentral:misc_RNA from 1 species
GAUGAAGAACGCAGCGAAAUGCGAUACGUAAUGUGAAUUGCAGAAUUCAGUGAAUCAUCGAAUCUUUGAACGCACAUUGCGCCUGCCAGCACUCUGGCAGGCAUGCCUGUUCGAGCGUCAUUUCAACCAUCAAGCCCUAGGCUUGCGUUGGAGCCCUGUGGCUGCCGCAGGCCCCUAAAAGCAGUGGCGGGCUCGCUAUCACACCGAGUGCAGUAGAUUACUCUUCGCUCAGGGCGUGUGGCGGGUUCCAGCCGUGAAACCCCCUACUUCUCAGGGUUGACCUCGUAUCAGGUAGGAAUACCCGCUGAACUUAAGCAUAUCAAUAAGCGGAGGA